rnacentral:rRNA from 1 species
GACGAACGCUGGCGGCGUGCUUAACACAUGCAAGUCGAGCGAUGAAGUUUCUUCGGAAAUGGAUUAGCGGCGAACGGGUGAGGAACACGUGAAGAAUCUGCCCUCCACUUUGGGAUAACACCGGGAAACCGGUGCUAAUACCGAAUAUUGAAACAUAAGUGGCAUCACUGAGUUUUGAAAGAAUUUCGGUGGAGGAUGACUUCGCGGCCUAUCAGCUAGUUGGUGAGGUAAUGGCUCACCAAGGCAACGACGGGUAGCCGGCCUGAGAGGGCGACCGGCCACACUGGGACUGAGACACGGCCCAGACUCCUACGGGAGGCAGCAGUGGGGAAUAUUGGGCAAUGGAGGAAACUCUGACCCAGCGACGCCGCGUGCGGGAUGAAGGCCUUCGGGUUGUAAACCGCUUUCAGUAGGGAAGAAGCGAAAGUGACGGUACCUACAAAAGAAGCACCGGCUAACUAUGUGCCAGCAGCCGCGGUAAUACAUAGGGUGCAAGCGUUGUCCGGAAUUAUUGGGCGUAAAGAGCUCGUAGGUCGUUUGUUACGUCGGAUGUGAAAUCCUGAGGCUCAACCUCAGGCCUGCAUUCGAUACGGGCAAACUAGAGUUUGGUAGGGGAGACUGGAAUUCCUGGUGUAGCGGUGGAAUGCGCAGAUAUCAGGAGGAACACCAAUGGCGAAGG